rnacentral:rRNA from 1 species
CGGCGGACGGGUGAGUAACGCGUGGGUAACCUACCUCAUACAGGGGGAUAACAGUUGGAAACGGCUGCUAAUACCGCAUAAGCGCACGGUACCGCAUGGUACCGUGUGAAAAACUCCGGUGGUAUGAGAUGGACCCGCGUCUGAUUAGCUAGUUGGUGGGGUAACGGCCUACCAAGGCGACGAUCAGUAGCCGACCUGAGAGGGUGACCGGCCACAUUGGGACUGAGACACGGCCCAA